rnacentral:rRNA from 1 species
UAAGGAAUAUUGGUCAAUGGAGGCAACUCUGAACCAGCCAUGCCGCGUGCAGGAAGAAGGCCCUAUGGGUCGUAAACUGCUUUUGAACAAGAGAAAACCCCGGUACGUGUACUGGGUUGAUAGUAUUGUUAGAAUAAGCAUCGGCUAACUUCGUGCCAGCAGCCGCGGUAAGACGAAGGAUGCAAGCGUUAUCCGGAUUCAUUGGGUUUAAAGGGUGCGUAGGCGGACUGAUAAGUCAGUGGUGAAAUCUCUCGGCUUAACCGAGAAACUGCCAUUGAUACUGUUAGUCUAGAGUACAGAUGAUGUGGGCGGAAUAUGACAUGUAGUGGUGAAAUACUUAGAUAUGUCAUAGAACACCGAUUGCGAAGGCAGCUCACAAAACUGUAACUGACGCUGAGGCACGAAAGCGCGGGGAUCAAACAGGAUUAGAUACCCAAGUAGUCCCUGAGCGGGCUGGCAAGGCGCAU